CUGGCGGCAGGCCUAACACAUGCAAGUCGAGCGCUCACUUCGGUGGGAGCGGCGGACGGGUUAGUAACGCGUGGGAAUAUGCCCGGUACUAAGGAAUAGCCUUCGGAAACGAAGAGUAAUACCUUAUACGCCCUUCGGGGGAAAGAUUUAUCGGUAUCGGAUUAGCCCGCGUAAGAUUAGAUAGUUGGUGGGGUAAUGGCCUACCAAGUCUACGAUCUUUAGCUGGUUUUAGAGGAUGAUCAGCAACACUGGGACUGAGACACGGCCCAGACUCCUACGGGAGGCAGCAGUGGGGAAUCUUAGACAAUGGGCGCAAGCCUGAUCUAGCCAUGCCGCGUGAGUGAAGAAGGCCUUAGGGUCGUAAAGCUCUUUCGCCAGAGAUGAUAAUGACAGUAUCUGGUAAAGAAACCCCGGCUAACUCCGUGCCAGCAGCCGCGGUAAUACGGAGGGGGUUAGCGUUGUUCGGAAUUACUGGGCGUAAAGCGCACGUAGGCGGAUUGGAAAGUAGGGGGUGAAAUCCCAGGGCUCAACCCUGGAACUGCCUCCUAAACUAUCAGUCUAGAGUUCGAGAGAGGUGAGUGGAAUUCCAAGUGUAGAGGUGAAAUUCGUAGAUAUUUGGAGGAACACCAGUGGCGAAGGCGGCUCACUGGCUCGAUACUGACGCUGAGGUGCGAAAGUGUGGGGAGCAAACAGGAUUAGAUACCCUGGUAGUCCACACCGUAAACGAUGAAUGCCAGUCGUCGGCAAGUAUACUUGUCGGUGACACACCUAACGGAUUAAGCAUUCCGCCUGGGGAGUACGGUCGCAAGAUUAAAACUCGAAGGAAUUGACGGGGGCCCGCACAAGCGGUGGAGCAUGUGGUUUAAUUCGAAGC
rnacentral:rRNA from 1 species